AAUGAACGCUGGCGGCAGGCCUAACACAUGCAAGUCGAACGGAUCCUUCGGGAUUAGUGGCGGACGGGUGAGUAACGCGUGGGAACGUGCCCUUUGGUUCGGAAUAGCCUCGGGAAACUGGGAGUAAUACCGGAUAAGCCCUUCGGGGGAAAGAUUUAUCGCCAAAGGAUCGGCCCGCGUUGGAUUAGGUAGUUGGUGGGGUAAUGGCCUACCAAGCCGACGAUCCAUAGCUGGUUUGAGAGGAUGAUCAGCCACACUGGGACUGAGACACGGCCCAGACUCCUACGGGAGGCAGCAGUGGGGAAUCUUAGACAAUGGGGGAAACCCUGAUCUAGCCAUGCCGCGUGAUCGAUGAAGGCCUUAGGGUUGUAAAGAUCCUUCAGUUGGGAAGAUAAUGACGGUACCAACAGAAGAAGCCCCGGCUAACUCCGUGCCAGCCGCCGCGGUAA
rnacentral:rRNA from 1 species